GUGAGUUUAAGAUUGCUUGGCAGCUGGUGUGUAGGUCAGCUCUGUCAGCCUUGGGUACCCAAAUCCAGUAUUGGGGGAGGUCAGUGCUCAUGAGUAGGGACUCCAGGUCAACCCAUCUACAAUUUGUGCUAGUUGGGCUGAUAGGUAGUAGAGGUGGAGGUUGGGAAGUCCCAGCCCCCCCCACAUUUAGGGAUGUAUAGAGUUUGUCUCGCUAUUCUAUGUCUUUUUCUAGCCCAGAUUAAAUUGUCUAUCGCUGUCUGGACUGUUUUAAGAUCCACUCUAGUCACUUUCACCGGCAGUGCUUGGGAGAGGAACAACCGGAGCGGCCUGAGGUUCAUUUUAAUGCUGUGGAGUCUUCCUAUCCACGAGAUGGGUUUCUAAUAUCAGGUGUCUAGGUCUUUCAGUAGUGUACGGAUCAUGGGUGUAUAGUUUUCAGCGUAUAGAUCGCUGGGGUUCGGUGUCAAUUUGACACCCAGAUAUUUGAUAGAGGUUUGGCUAAUUUUUAGUCCGGUCGUAUUGCGCAGUCAGGCGACGUCUGCUUCGGCCAUCAUCAAUGGC